rnacentral:rRNA from 1 species
GGAUGAACGCUAGCUACAGGCUUAACACAUGCAAGUCGAGGGGCAGCAUGGUCUUAGCUUGCUAAGGCCGAUGGCGACCGGCGCACGGGUGAGUAACGCGUAUCCAACCUUCCGUACACUCAGGGAUAGCCUUUCGAAAGAAAGAUUAAUACCUGAUGGUAUGAUGAGAUUGCAUGAUAGCAUCAUUAAAGAUUUAUCGGUGUACGAUGGGGAUGCGUUCCAUUAGGUAGUAGGCGGGGUAACGGCCCACCUAGUCUUCGAUGGAUAGGGGUUCUGAGAGGAAGGUCCCCCCACAUUGGAACUGAGACACGGUCCAAACUCCUACGGGAGGCAGCAGUGAGGAAUAUUGGUCAAUGGGCGAGAGCCUGAACCAGCCAAGUAGCGUGAAGGAUGACUGCCCUAUGGGUUGUAAACUUCUUUUAUAAAGGAAUAAAGUCGGGUAUGGAUACCCGUUUGCAUGUACUUUAUGAAUAAGGAUCGGCUAACUCCGUG